GAUGAACGCUGGCGGCGUGCUUAACACAUGCAAGUCGAACGGAGAGGCCCUGCUUUUGUGGGGUUCUCGAGUGGCGAACGGGUGAGUAACACGUGAGUAACCUGCCCUUGACUUUGGGAUAACUUCAGGAAACGGGGGCUAAUAUCGGAUAGGAGCUCCUGCUCCAUGGUGGGCGUUGGAAAGUUUCGGCGGUUGGGGAUGGACUCGCGGCUUAUCAGCUUGUUGGUGGGGUAGUGGCUUACCAAGGCUUAGACGGAUAGCCGGCCUGAGAGGGUGACCGGCCACAUUGGUACUAAGAUACGGCGCAGACGCCUACGGGAGGCAGUAGUGGGGAAUAUGACACAAUGGGCGGGAGCCUGAUGCGGCGGCGCCGCGUGCGGGAUGACGGCCUUCGGGUUGUGAACCGCUUUCGCCUGUGACGAAGCGGGAGUGACGGUAAUGGGUAAAGAAGCACCGGCUAACUACGUG
rnacentral:rRNA from 1 species